GACGAACGCUGGCGGCGUGCCUAAUACAUGCAAGUCGAGCGAAGAAGCUUGGUACUUGUACCAAAUGGAUGAGCAGCGAACGGGUGAGUAACGCGUGGGGAAUCUGCCUUUGAGCGGGGGACAACAUCUGGAAACGAAUGCUAAUACCGCAUAAAAACUUUAAACACAAGGUUUAAGAUUGAAAGACGCAAUUGCAUCACUCAAAGAUGAUCUCGCGUUGUAUUAGCUAGUUGGUGAGGUAAAGGCUCACCAAAGCGAUGGUACAUAGCCGACCUGAAAAGGUGAACGGCCACCUUUGGAAUUGGACACGGGUCAAAAUCCUACCGGAGGCAACAGUAGGGAAUCUUCGGCAAUGGACGGAAGUCUGAACGGGCAACGCCGCGUGAGUGAAGAAGGUUUUCGGAUCGUAAAACUCUGUUGGUAGAGAAAAACGAUAGUGAGAGUGAAAAGCUCACCAAGUGACGGUAACUACCCAGAAAGCGACGGCUAACUACGUG
rnacentral:rRNA from 1 species